CUGCAGGAAGAGCUGAAGGAACAAACAGGAAGAAGGGUGUUACCCAGAGACUAGAAGCCUGUAGGGAGCUCCCACUCUGUGCCAUUGGGAGACUGUCACCGUCGGUUUUAGCCGCACACGACGUGUCCUGGUGUUGCCUUGGCAGUUAAAGUCUGGAGCCCACCCCACCCUCCAUGGCUACUGUGGCAAGUGUCACAGCCAUGGCACCUGCUUCUUUGCACUUGACAGCAUAGAAUGGAAGCUACUGAUGCCCACCACUAAGGGGCUCUACUCCGAUGCUGAGGUCCCAGCUUGGAGAUGGGGUGAAUGCCAGAUCCUUCCCUCCCUUCUGACAUGAGGUCUUGUCUUGUGUGCCGGUCCUGCUAGGGUGCCAAAGACUCAGCAGCGAAUGACAUCCAGGUCCCAGGUUCAAGGAGCAAUGGGGUUGUGGGCAAAGAAAAUGUGUGUUUGUUAGAUGGUGGUAAAUGCUUCUGGGCCAGGCAGCAGGCAGUGAUGCCCACAGGCCAGAAACGUGGAGAAGACAGCCGGGCCAAGGUGGUCAUGGAGGAGGAGUGGGUAGAGAAGGCUUCCCUCAUCCCAGUCUGAAUCACUAUCACUGGAUGAUGCAUCCAGGCUUCUAGAUGGGGGGCCCACAGCCCACAGCCACCAGCAGAGGCCAUUGGAGCUCUUGAAGACUGGAGCUGUUCAUGGAGGCUCCUGGAGGGGUUUCUGCCCACAGCCGUAGGUCAGGACCUUCUGGGUCCCUGCACCAAUACCUUCCUUGGCCCUGUGGCCCAGAGGUGAUGGAAUUCAGUGAGCCCCAUGCUCCCCCAAACCCAGGCCUGAGGGUGCGGGGUCUGUGUGUUCUACUGGGCUCCCUUCUGGGCGCCCCCUGGAAUCAGAUUUUUAAUUGCCUGUUUUGGUAUCUGUCUCUUCCCUAGACUAUAAAAUGAAGACAGAGAUCAUGGCUCAUUUAUUAUUGAUUCCCCAGUGCCUAAUGUUAAGACCUGCUCUAUUUAUUGAUGGAUCAUGGAAUAUUGGGGAGUAUUAACUGACUGGUCCUGAAAGGGCACAGACCAAAGAUGUACUGUUUAAAGCCAUAUCAUUUUAUUUGAUUCUUGAUCAUUUAGAUGAAAUAAUGCUCAUUUAGGGUUAAAAGACUAAAUGCCAGAAAACUCUUGCUCAGCUGUGCUGGAAGGAGCAGAGUCUGAGUAGUAAUACUUACGGUAAUUGUCUCCAUUUAGAUGAAAUCUGGCUCAGCACAUACAUGGCAUGAUCUUUCCUCUUUGUGAAAAUUUUGUAAGACUUAAGAGUUUGAUUUAGUCACUUUCUGGACUAGCUUCCUGACCUCAGUUUAUGAAAUGACUGGAGAGAACUGAAUGCAACAGCCCUAAAGGAAACUUACCCCAUGAAACCAAUCUUCUAUCAGAAUGGGCUGGCAGUUAGAGAACUCUAUUUGUCUCUGUGGUCACUGAAUCAACCACUGGUCAUCGAGUCUGGGUUCAGAAGACCAUCUGAAUGGACUGAGGCUGAUUUUACUGGUCGUCACAGCAGCCUCAAACAUUUGUUGGAUUUCUUCUCCCAGUUUUUCGACCCCAUGCAGAAUUGGUCAUUCCCACAUUUGUGCCAAUACAGGACAUCGUGCAGACAACUCCUGUGGCAUUAUCACCAUGGUCAUGCUUCUUCCACUAUACAAUCUCAGCAGGCAGUAUUUUACUUCAGCCUUGAAACAGUGAAGAAUA